UAAUGGUAAUUGAGGGUAGUACGAGAGGAACUGCUCAUUCAGAUAAUUGGUAUUUGCGCCUGUCCGAUCGGGCAAUGGCGCGAAGCUACCAUCUGUUGGAUUAUGGCUGAACGCCUCUAAGCCAGAAUCCGUGCUUGAAAACGAUGAUGUAUUGUCCCGCGCAUUGCUUAGUUGCGUUAGAAUAGAGCUUCGUGCUCGAGAACCACAUUUGAGCGACCCUUUGUUGAGCGGAAAGGCUUGAUGAAGGUGCUUGUCUUGUAUUGAAAACAUGUGCGGGGAUGAAUCCUUUGCAGACGACUUGAAU
rnacentral:rRNA from 1 species